rnacentral:tRNA from 1 species
GCCGGGAUGGCAGAGUCUGGUUGAUUGCGCCGGCCUUGAGACAGGACACCGUCUCUCUAGAGCGGAUGACGAUGUUCUACGGUCGACAGCCGGUGGGGCCUGACAGCCCUUCCUGGGUUCAAAUCCCAGUCCCGGCG